CUGCAAUCAUAAAUCUAGUCAUCCAACCAUGAUGCUGUCUUUUUGUUCACUCCAGUUGCUCCUUCUAUUGUCUUGCUGGGUUCUUCUGAACAUGAUUUGGAGAAAUUUAGUGGAUUUUGAUGUGAGAGGACAACAGUGGAUGGACUUUUUCAUGGAGGAUGUUUCACAAUGCACCACUCGCAUUGUGGCCAGAAGUUACAUUUAAAGUUAAAACACCUUAAUGAUGCAUUUGUUUCUUACAAACACGCAACUUUUCACUUCUCAAGAUGUUAACUGAUGGACAUGUGAUAGCUGUGUGGAUUAUUGUGAUUCUUUUAUCAGCUGUUUGAACUCUCCUUCUGACGGCACCCAGUCAUUGCAGAGGAUCGACUAAGUAAUGUAUUCUUCGUUAAAUAAUAUGCCGUUCCAUGUUUUCAUUUUAAAAUUCUUAUAUAAUUUCACAGCUUUUUCCAAGUGUUUUCAGUUUUCAGAAGAUUCGAUUAACAGCUUUGCUUUCUCAUUACUAAUGCAUAUUCUCCCAUUUUUUCCUUGGCCCCAAGACCCUCAUUAGCUAUGGAAGGUCUGCCGUAUCCAGCCUACCUGACCCCGGACCACCUGCUCUGUAGCUUGCUCUCGCUGCUCAUCUAUGUGUUUCCCACCAAGCCUGUCAUCAUCAUAGGUAUCGUUUGGAUUAGCAUUCUGCUAAAAGAUCCAAAAGAUGUGACUCAGCCUUGCCCCCUGGAAACCAUUUUGCUUGUAAAUCUCCAGGUAUUUACAUUAUGUCAUGUUUCCUAACAAUAUUUCAAGAAUCAGAGAGCCAGAAAUCAGGUUCUGUGAGUUAACUUAGUGUUUUAACUUGGUGCUUAUUGCCCUUUGCCACCCUUCCAAGUAUGGUUUGGUAGUUGUUUCUAAUUGUAAUUUCACAGAUUUUAUUAUAUAAGGAUCCAACAACAUUGUCAUGAGUUCAACUCCUGCAGUACCUCCCGUUCACCACCAGUAUCCUGAAUUUUAACCCCUGUUCAUGGACUCCAUUUCCCACAAGCCCACGUACUUGGAACUCGUUACCCUCUCACCUGUUGCCCAUCACUGGGACUAUUUAAGUCGUGCACUUUAGCUUAUUUGUUGUGAAGUCUUGUUCUUGCUAUGGCUGACAACUUGGAGUGUUCUUUAUUUGGUUUGCCUUUCUUGUGUAUAAUCCUUGACUGUUUUCUCACUUUUGAUUCUCUGCUGCCUGCCUGUUGUUUUUGCCUGGGCAAUGUUUGUGAUUGUUGAGCUGCCUGCCCCGUCCCAUUGCCUGUGUACUGACUUUGAAACUGUUUUGUCUUGGAUAUUGUUUUGCUGGAGAUUGACCCUGCCUGUUUGCACUCUGAUGAACCUUUUUAAUAAAGCUGCAAAUGGAUCUCAACCCGACUGACGGCUCAUUACAAACAUCUAGCAAUUAUCUUAUUGCGACCCUUUAAGUAGGUUUUGCCUCUCAAAUAAAUUUUCUUAAUGUACACUAUGGUUCAAAAGGUUGGCGGUAAGUAUAGUGUUUUUUUUCUCCCCAAAGAUGUGUAUUUUUAUGCAGCAAGAAUGCCUCAAAUUGAGUAAAUACUUUUUUUUUUUUUUUUUUUUUAGUAAACUGUUCUUUUGAACUUUCUAUUCAUUAAAGAGUCCUAAAAAAAGUGUUGGUUUCUACAAAAAUAUUAAGCAGCACAACUGUUUUUAACACUGAAAAUGAGCACGAAAUCACCAUAUUAGAACAAUUUCUGAAGCAUCACGUUACACUGAAGACUGGAGUAACGUCUGCUGAAAAUUCAGCUUUGCCAUUGCAAAAAUAAAUGACAUUUUAAAAUGUAUUAAAAUUGAAAACCGUUGCAAUAAUAUUUCUCAGUAUUGCAGUUUUUACUGUAUUUUGAUCAAAUAAAUUCUGCUUUGGUGAGCAUAAGAGACUUAUUUUAAGAAGUUUCUUUCAAACUUUUGAAGGUUAAUAGGAGUAAAAAAAGCAGAAAUCAUUCAGAGAUUUUAAAGUUUCAGGGUCCGUUUCAUAAUGUAAAAUAAAACAAUAAACAGCAGACAAAUGUAAUAUAAUUGAGUUGCAUUGAAAAGUUUUUAUUUUUCAGUGUAAUGUUGUGAAAACAAUGAGCAUGAGCAAAAAGGCCUUGAGCAAAAAGGCCUUAAUGUUUCCAUUCAUAUUUGUAUAUGCAUACAUGUGCAUGCGUAUAUCUUCGUGAAUGUCAAAGUUGUUUUCUGUAUGCUGCGUCCAGCUGGCUGGGAUAUAGCAAUAGUCUUUUAAUUCCAUUAGUGAAGGAAGGGUGAAAUGCACACAGAGAAACAGGCCCUCCAUCAAUGUGUCAUAUCUGUUAUAUUAACAACCAUCGGCUCCUUACAUGCACAAUGGACUCCAGCUGUCUUCAAGACCAUAGAUUUUGUCAGAGGAAACCACUCACUCAAGACAACAGUUUAUCCUCGCCUUCAUAUUUGCAGUUAGAUCACAUCUUAUAUUAUGACACUUAAUGUAUUAUAUUCUUGAUAUAUACUCUAAUAUUGGUGGAGAUGCAAAUGACCUAGACUAGUAAUUCAUCAGGCGUGUAGUAAAAUGUCAGUGCUAAUGAUAGGGUUUAUGCAGUAUUUGCAGCUUUUAGUUUCCAUUACAACGAAGCAUUUCAGUGUGUAAAAGGUACUUGGUGCAGUCAAUAUGGUGUUUAUAUCUACAGCUGUGGAUCAGGAUAUAAUGCACCUGCACCCAUCAGUGUGGUAGUUAACACCAUUACAGGCUCUCACCGAGUUUCAAGUAAUGUAUUGAAACAGAGGCUGGUGUAUAAUGCAUGAGUUUUGGUGUCAAAAUGCUCCUAAAAACACUUUUUUUUUUCUGGCAAACCUCUAGCGUGGAAUCCACCAUACUGCCUCACUGGGAGAUUUUGGCAUGGUGGUUUUACCGUGCCGAGAAAUUAUAAUUGGCAGGGGAAGCAGGAUGAGGCUAAUGCGGGCGUUUCUCAUCCUGUGCCCCUCUACUAAGGGUCAUGGUCUCAAUGGGGGUUAUCCCACCCUCCUCCAUGCUGGAAUGUCAACAUCCCCUCCUGCAGAGCAAAUGAGAAAUAGAUAGAAGGGGACAGAAGGAGAAUGAAUGAGAGGAGAGAAUGUCAGCCCCUUACUGCUUCCCAUUAGACUGAAUAGAGAGGAAGGAGAGACCUUUAGUCUUUGUCAUGAGCAGGUGAAAUCUGUCUACACUGGCUAAGGCCGCCGCAUUCACUCAAGUCUCAAAUGAGAUUAGACACCGAUAAGUGGUUCUUUUCCAAAACAUAGUGAGCACAAAAUGUUACUCUUACGUUUCUUAUGCUCGCCCAGGCUGCAUUCAUUUAAUCAAAAAUAUAGUAUAAUUGCAAUACUGUGAAAUAUUAUUACAGUUUAAAAUAACUGUUUUCUAAUUUAACAAAUUUUGACGUGCAAUGUAUUCCGAUGAUGACAUAGCUGAGUUUUCAGUAGCCUUUACUCAAGUCUUCAGUGUUACAUGACCUGUCAGAAAUCAUUCUAAUAUACUGAUUUGGUGCUCAAAUUUCUUAUCACAGUUUUUUUUUUUUUUUUUUUUUUGAGAUUAUUUGAUAAUAAAAUUAAAUAAGUAUUUUUUUAACAAAAUGUUUUUUUGUGUUUUUUUUUUUUUCACAGAGAUUAAAUUGCAUUUUGGGAUUGCCUUGUUUUCUGAAAAAUACAUGCCCUGCUGCCUUAGAUUUUGGCCAGACAAGUUGUUUGAGGGUAGAUUACCAUUCAGAGCAGUCUUUUUGUAGUUGCAGUGUACAGUAUACAAUGCCUAUGGAUGCAGCUCAUUAGCUGUUCUGAAUCAUAAGUAUGUGUGAAACUAGCUUUGAUCUUCAGCAGCUCCAUGCUUUGGGAUCGUCACAUAAUUUUAAUGAAGUUCCCUUAAAAUGGCAAUACUGUCUUGAAACAAACCUUCUAAGUCUAAAAAUAAAAUGAUGCUGAAUCUGGAUCCAUUUUGGAUGAUUUAUUAUAUCUAUUCAUAAAAUGCACUGAGGAUGAAAAAUAAUUGUUUCAUUUCUUUUCUAAUGAUGAGAUUGAUUACCAAGCUGCUGUUUGUUGCAGAAUUUCAGAUUGACCUUUAAGUUUCCCCACAAAAGGAUGUUAGCAUUAGAUUAAGGAUAGAAAUGCUGAGAGAUUAACGGUGCAAUACCAAGGGCAGUGCAAUGUGGGACAUGAAAUUUACUAUAAAUAUGAAAGAAGGAUAGAGGGGAUAGAGAAACAAAUCCACAAUAUAAAAGAGAAACAGCUAUUCUUACAUGUCUAUAACAGAAAAAUCACCAGCACACUCCUCCUUAUUCCACAUGCCCUGUCAACAAGAGGCAAUUUAAUUUGUCAUAUCCAAUGUGUUUGCUGCAGGCCAAACACAUCGUUGUUGUUAUUAUUUAAUCACGUGUGGAGAGCUUGAUGGGAAACAGAAGAAAAAGGAUGUCAGGAAGGAGGAACCAGAGGGGCACCCGGGCAGCUCGAGUCUUUUUUGUUUUUUUUCCCUCCUGCUAUUUCACUUCUGACAAACCCGGUGGGUUUGAACCACAAAUUUAGAAGGUUGCUCUAGCUCUGCUCUAGCCUAUGAGAUAUAAUAACUCAAAUGCAUGUUAAAUAUUUUGGAUCAACUAGGGCUAUUAUGAGUUAGUGGUUCAGUAUACGUUAUAUAUGUUUAAAAUGCAAUCACUCAAUUUUUGGACGUGUUUUUAAGCCUGAUAUAUGUUCACUCCUGAAAUUGACAUGAUCACUGGAGCCUCUAGCCUCAGCACUGAAUCAGCCUGCCUUGAUUUGUGAGAAGGAGAAGAGACAGAAGAGAAAAAUGUCCGUAUACAAACAUAAAACACAGCACACACUCAUUCGUCUGAUGUUCAUUUCUAGGCAUAACUAACAAAAAGAGGAUGGUUUUAUGAUGACCAGUUUGGAUCUCACUGCUUUUGAUUUAAAAACAAAACAAAACAAUUAAUAGGGGGGGUUUUGUUUAUUCUUUAAAUGCAGGUAACAUAUUUACACUUUGACUUGACAAUAUCAUUUCUAUCUGACUUGACUAAACAACUUAAAGGGACAUAAGCGACUGGUUUUCCAAUACAAACAUUUUAAAAUGGCACACUGAGGGAAAUAAUAACAGUAUUGUUCAGUGAUGAAUUGUAACAUCUUUUAAAUCGAACAACUACACAUUUCACAAUUUAACAACUAUGUAGACAGGCUUUAGAAAGACAAUUUGUAUUCAGGCACUGAUUCGAAAGUGUGAGUUCACAAAUGUUUCAAGAGCUCUUCUAUUUUAAGGGUCAUUGUACACAUUUUAUCUUUAU
rnacentral:lncRNA from 12 species